GACGAACGCUGGCGGCGUGCUUAACACAUGCAAGUCGAACGGAAAGGCCCCUUUGUGGGUACUCGAGUGGCGAACGGGUGAGUAACACGUGAGUAACCUUCCCUUGACUUCGGGAUAACUUCAGGAAACUGGGGCUAAUACCGGAUAGGAAUCCUUGCUGCAUGGUGGGGGUUGGAAAGCUUCGGCGGUUUUGGAUGGACUCGCGGCUUAUCAGCUUGUUGGUGGGGUAGUGGCUUACCAAGGCUUUGACGGGUAGCCGGCCUGAGAGGGCGACCGGCCACAUUGGGACUGAGAUACGGCCCAGACUCCGACGGGAGGCAGCAGUGGGGAAUAUUGCACAAUGGGCGGAAGCCUGAUGCAGCAACGCCGCGUGCGGGAUGACGGACUUCGGGUUGUAAACCGCUUUCAGCAGGGGCGAAGCUUGUGGUGACGGUACCUGCAGAAGAAGCACCGGCUAACUACGUG
rnacentral:rRNA from 1 species